rnacentral:piRNA from 1 species
UGUGUUGAGUCUUUUGGCGAG